UACAACACUCACCAAGCCGAAACAACGCAUCGUAGUCUUCUCUGUACUGUUCUUGAUCUUGUUGGUGCUCUUACCAUUUCUUGCAAAGCAGCAAGAUUUGCAAAUUUAAAUAACAAAAAGCAGCCCAAGAAUACAAACUUUUCAAGAUAAUGAUUCGUUUCUUGGACUUUAGACGGUCAAGAAUCAAGAACCAAGAAACAAGAAAGAGAAAGCUAAUUCAAUGGAUUGGAAUGUUGAGAGUGAAGAAAAUCACAAAACACAAAUGCCCGUUCUGGGAAUGCAACGUGUAUAUAUAGAGGCAUAAAGGGUUGUCAAAAUAAGAGCCGUUGAUUAGCCAAAUGUGGGACCAGGUAGGGGGUUGAGAUAUUGUUUUCUGGGUGGAGAAAUCUGGUUUGGGGCAUUGGUCCAAAUCAGACAGAAUCAAAGCAGCAGAUCCCAAUAUAUAUUCAGCUGAUACGUCUAGGGAACUUGUAUAGAAUAGUUUAAGAUGAAAAUGUAGUUUAAGAAGAUAAUUAAAGAGCUAAUUAGGUUUUCAUUGUGUUUUGGGUUUUGUUG
rnacentral:misc_RNA from 1 species